rnacentral:lncRNA from 1 species
AUCCUAAUCAAACCAAACCAUAAACCCUAAUUUUAUAUAAAUCCACUUUCUAAUCUAAUUUCACCGUUUUGAUAAUGAAUUAACAAAUACCAAACUCAUAAAGCGAACGCGGAGGGAUAGUAUUUAUUAAUUCAUCAUCACAAAUAUCAAUUCAUAAAGCGAACACGGAGCUUUGAUAUUGGAACAAGUGAAAUUAGACAAAGAUUGCGAAAAAUGAAAAUAGUCUAGCAAACCUUGAGACACAUAAAGUUUUGUUCUUCAAGGAUUCUAAUAACAAUCAACCAUGAGAAUAGGCGUGGUUGCUAGAGGAACACACUCAAUGAUUUUGAGAGAAACUUUGAUACGCUUAAGAGAAACUUGUCUUUAGAAAGUAGGUCCAAUAUAAAGUUUAGGUUUAGGGUUUGUUUGUGAAGGAAUUGUCACUAUGACGAACCAAUAAUCCCAAGGCGCU